rnacentral:rRNA from 1 species
GGCAGGAAAAGAAACUAACCAGGAUUCCCCUAGUAACGGCGAGUGAAGCGGGAACUGCUCAGCUUUAAAAUCUGGCUCUUUCAGAGUCCGAGUUGUGAGCUUGAAGCGUUGCGUCCCCGACGGACCUUGGGUAUAUCAGCUGGAAAGCUGUCUCAGAGAGGGUGACAAGCCCGUUCAUACCAAGGACGCCCGUUGGAGUCUGGCGCAGCUGCUAUAGAGUCGAGUUGUUUGGGAAUGCAGCUCUAAUUGGGUGGUAAACUCCAUCUAAAGCUAAAUAUUGGCGGAAGACCGAUAGCGAACAAGUACCGUGAGGGAAAGAUGAAAAGCACUUUGGAAAGAGAAUGAAACAGUAUGUGAAAUUGCUGGAAGGGAAACGAUUGAGGUUAGACGUGCUUGGCGUGCCUUCAGCCCUUACGGGUGUACUGGCGCGCCGCAGCAGGCCAGCAUCGGUUUGUUGCGUCGGGUAAAAGGGUGGCAGGGACGUGGCUGUCUUCGGACAGUGUUAUAACCUGCCACUGGAUGCCCGGCGUCAGACCGAGGAUCGCAGGGCGCCUUCACAGGUCGCGUCCCCGGACGCUAAGCCCUUAGGAUGCUGGUAGAAUGGCCUUAACCGACCCGUCUUGAAACACGGACCAAGGAGUCUAACAUGCCUGCGAGUGUUUGAGUGUCAAACUCGAGCGCGGAAUGAAAGUGAAAACAGGAGGGAACCUUGUACGAGGUGCACCUUCGACCGGCGGGGUGGCUUGCUGCCCAGUCUGAGUAAGAGCAUGUAUGUUGGGACCCGAAAGAUGGUGAACUAUGCCUGAAUAGGGUGAAGCCAGAGGAAACUCUGGUGGAGGCUCGUAGCGGUUCUGACGUGCAAAUCGAUCGUCAAAUUUGGGUAUAGGGGCGAAAGACUAAUCGAACCAUCUAGUAGCUGGUUCCUGCCGAAGUUUCCCUCAGGAUAGCAGAAGCUCAAAUUAGUUCGAUGAGGUAAAGCGAAUGAUUAGCGGACUGGGGGGCGUCAUGCCCUUCACCGAUUCUCAAACUUUAAAUGUGUCGGAUGCCUUGGUGGCUUAAUUGCACCAUUGGCUUUUGAAUAAGAGUUUCUAGUGGGCCAUUUUUGGUAAGCAGAACUGGCGAUGCGGGAUGAACCGAACGUGGGGUUAAAGUGCCAGAGUAGCGGCUCAUCAGACACCACAAAAAGUGUGCUUGCAUCUAGACAGUUGGACGGUGGACAUGGAAGUCGUCACCCGCUAAGGAGUGUGUAACAACUCACCAAUCGAAUGCAAGUGCCUUGAAAAUGGAUGGCGCUAAGCCGCUCACUUAUACCCCACCCUUCGAGUAAGCUCAUGAGGCUCGAAGGAGUAGGCAGGCGUGGGGGUUUUGUAUCGAAGCGUUGGGCGUGAGCCUGCGUGGAACGGCCCCUAGUGCAGAUCUUGG